rnacentral:lncRNA from 1 species
CCCCUAAUAUUUCACGAUACAAUUUUCAUUUUUCCCAAUUAAAAACUCGUCCACACAAUCUUAGUACAGGAAAAAACUCACCUGAUUGGCAAGUAUGUACAGCUAUACCCGACCUCCUUUACUGUUGCUCCUCAAGCCUCAUAAUUUCCUCGAUAACGUCUCUUUCUUCUCCCAGCACCCUAAGCCCCAAUUUCUUCCCAACUUCCCAAGUCUGCUUCACCUCUCUAAGAAUAACCUUUCUCCUGUUGCUUAAUUCUGAAUCGGACAAAGAGAGGUUAACCACUUUGUCUUCACUUCCUGGCUCUGCGCUGCUCUUGCCCUUUCUUCUAUUUCGAUCUCUUCUUUGAAUUUCUUUGGAAGACAACACCCCGUCUUGAAUGGCUUGCAUUGACAUAAUUCUUUUAUUAAACUGUCUCUUCUUCCUCUUACUUCUAAUAGUGUUGUAAAAUUCCUCUUCUACCUCUUGGCUUAUGUCCCUAUCCUCUGCUUCUGGAGUUGCUAAAUUAAAAUUAUCGAUCGGGAAAAUCUGAUCUUCGACAGAAAGAAUUUCCCUGCCCGUAAGAUGCCCUUCAAACCUAAGAGAGUCCAAUCUUUCGUCAAUAUCUACCAGCCCAACUUGACCCUCCCUUUGACCCAAACCCAACACCAGGCCCAUGUUGGCAACAUCCUCAUAUGCCCGGUCCAUUCCACUAUUCGGCCUACUAACCCCCGCAUCAACUUCGGCUGAAAUUCCCACACUAAGGGUGCGUUUGUUUGCUGUAAAAUGGUUUCCGGAAAAUAUUUUACAUCAUUUCCGGUGUUUGUUUGGGGGAAAAUGAAUUCCUUUAGGAAACCAUUUUCCAAAACACGGUAAAAUCAAGCCCAUUCCUCCGGAAAUUGUCUUACGGCUUCAAAAUUGGUAAGACAUUUUCCAUUCUUCUCUAAGCAGACAUUUUCUGUUCUCUUCUAAGCAGCAGACAUUUUCCAUUCCUCAAAGCUUCCGCCUCUCCUCAUCUCUGCCUUGCCAUCUCUGUCUCUCAGCAUCUUCCUUCUCCAUCUUUCUGCUCCAUAGAUCUGUCGGUGAGUCACCCAAAAGCUUCAAGUUUUUUAUGAAAUUGGUGGUUUUUUGCUGGAUUUUCCAGAAAUCGGAAGAAGGAUGAAAAUUCAUCCUCUUCUUCCCUACACCACUCGACCCCCAAUUCUUCACUACAGGGAAGCUUUCCCUUUUAAUUUUCUUGCUAUUUUCUGUAUAAAAAUCUCAACAUUUCUACCUUCAAAGCUUCAGUUAGUAGAUGCGAUUGACCCGAUUCAUUUCUUAUCUCUUAUCGUUUUUUUAUUUGUUUAUUCCUUAGUUGGAAUUUUAACUUUAUUUUAUCGCAUUUUGUUGUGUAAUUUUAGGGUUGCUGAAUUUCUUAAACGAAUUAAGCUUAAUACUCUAAUGUUCACUUCUUUUUGUAUAGUUAAUGAUUAUCAUCAUUUACGUUACCGUGGAUUUUAGAAACCCCAUAACUAUUCUUACUAUUGUUGUAUUGUGUUUCCAUUGUCGAUUUUAUUAGGCAUUCAUGGAUGUCUGUUAACUUGCUUGGGGCGUUUUUGAGCUUUCAUAUAGGAUAGCAGAUUAGUAGCGUCCCAUGUGGAGAUUUUAGCUUCACCAGUGGUUAAAUAAUCCUUUUUUUUCAUGGAGACAGUAGAUGUUGAGCUGAAGUGGACUAAGAGCAUUUCCAGUUCCUCUAAUUUUUAAGUAGUUUCUGAGUACAAUGAUGUUCCUCUAAUUUUUGCAGGGCUAUUGAGCACCCAACUUUUUCAGCACUUACAAGACCAUUGUGUGAUCUGUAUUCAACUUAUUCCUCCCCUUCUAGUUGCAACGAUAAAAGAAACUCAGGGUAUAUAGAUGUUGUUGUAGUUCUGAAUGCCGUGGGUCUUCUUUACUGGAGUAAAUUGUUAAUGCUUUUAUUCCUUUGCAUUAUAAUUGAUUCCAUGGUUUAGUUUUAGCAUUGAGUUAAUGGAUUAAAAGGAAGUGUUGAGGUGAUUAUCCUUACUGUUAAGUUUUUGUUUAAAAAUGUCAAAUAGAGAGACUUUAUGCUUGAGAUUUGAUCUUUUAUUUCUUGAAUAUUAAAAAUUGUUAGCAACUCAUAUAUAUAAAGUUUAUGCUUGAGAAACAAACCAAUCAAAAAUACCAAUAAGACUUUCAGUUCAAUCCAAAUUUCCUUAGAAAAUUCAAUGUUAAAAUGACUACUACAAGAUCUCUGCCAUAACCAGUUUUAUUGUUUAGUUCAAAACUUAAAAAGUUGAUAAUUUUUUAACUUUUUCUUUAAUUUUCUAUUUUACUGAUUUUUUUAAAUAUUAAAUAUAGGGUCUGUUUGUUUGGCAGUAUCUCCUUUCCGUGCAACAAGCCAAUAUGCAUGGCACUGUCUAAUAAAGAUAUUUGUGACAGUCCCCUACUUUCUCAAAUGAUCUGAGAAGCAAAAUUUUCCCCCAUUUGAAUCUAAUUUAACCAUCUUGAUUGGAAGAAAGGAAGGAAUAACUUUUAGUCUAAUGGCUCUGCCUUAAAAACAUGAAGUUAUUAUGAAUUUUGGCCACUAGAUUGAGAAUUUUCCAUCCUCCCCCUGUUUCAUUUUCCCAACCUAGCAUUAGCAAAUCUUAAUCCUUGUUGUGAUCCCAUUGUUGUUUUUAACAUUUAUCUUUCAAGCAUUUUGGAUACUGUCGUUUUGUGCAAAUUUCUUGCUGAUUUCUCUAUCAAUUAAGAGGAGCUCAUCUCUUGUGUUUGGGGUCUUGUUUAGAAGAUUUUUGCCCCUCAUGAUGUCUUUCUUCCUUAUGAGCUGUUGUAAAUAACCUGCUUUUUGUCAUUUCUUUCUUCCUUACUAUUUAAGCAUACGUAAAACAUUCAGGAAUUGUUCUUCCAAAAGUUCAGUUUUUUUUUUUAAAAAAUUAAAAAUCAAUGAACUAAACCAGGCAAAAUUUAAUUUCAGUCAUGAAACUUCUCAUAGUGUACUGGUUAAUGGGCUUACAAGUAGAGAAAAAUGUAUCGCAAUUCGCGACCCCGUAUAUUAUAAAUGGCAAAGAAAAUCUGAACACAAAAAAAAUUUGGCAGAAAUAAAAUAUAGGCUUGAAGCAGCCAUCUUCAGUCGACUAUGGUGGCCCUUUACAUUCUAUUUUUAUUCAAGUCACAUUUGAAUAUAUAAACUAAAUAAAAAUUUGGUAUAACAUUAUUUAAUUGUAUUGUAAAUGCCAAUAUUAGCAUUAUCCAUACAACAAUAGCAAAAGCAGCUUUUUUGCGUUUUCUUCUUUAACUAAGGCCGCUUUAUGGACAAGCUUAGUCCAAUUUUUAGCCUUAGAAAUUGAAGUGACAGGACCGAUUUUUUCAUUUUUGAACUUUCAAUGCUUUCAUUUUUCAUGCUUUCGUUUUUCAUGCUUUCAUUUUAAGUGGUACUUUCAAUUAUAAUUAGCUUGAUAUGUAUGUAUGCACUCUUAGUCAUGGUAACUUUAUGUGAUCUUAUGAAAAUCUUGCAUCUUUUUGUAGUGAUCAUAUAUUUGUGUGGCAUUAUUUUGUGUAGAUGGAUCGUAAUCAACAUCAAACUGCAAUUGUCGGAGUCGUGGCUUCAGUUUUAGCUUUUGGGGCUCUUUGGAUUAAAAAAUUAGAAACUAGGAAGAAAAUUGCUUCUCGCUCUCG